UGGGGAAUUUUGGACAAUGGGCGAAAGCCUGAUCCAGCAAUGCCGCGUGUGUGAAGAAGGCCUUCGGGUUGUAAGGCACUUUUGUCCGGAAAGAAAUCCUUGGCUCUAAUACAGUCGGGGGAUGACGGUACCGGAAGAAUAAGCACCGGCUAACUACGUGCCAGCAGCCGCGGUAAUACGUAGGGUGCAAGCGUUAAUCGGAAUUACUGGGCGUAAAGCGUGCGCAGGCGGUUUGCUAAGACCGAUGUGAAAUCCCCGGGCUCAACCUGGGAGCUGCAUUGGUGACUGGCAGGCUAGAGUAUGGCAGAGGGGGGUAGAAUUCCACGUGUAGCAGUGAAAUGCGUAGAGAUGUGGAGGAAUACCGAUGGCGAAGGCAGCCCCCUGGGCCAAUACUGACGCUCAUGCACGAAAGCGUGGGGAGCAAACAGGAUUAGAUACCCUGGUAGUCCACGCCCUAAACGAUGUCAACUAGUUGUUGGGGAUUCAUUUCCUUAGUAACGUAGCUAACGCGUGAAGUUGACCGCCUGGGGAGUACGGUCGCAAGAUUAAAACUCAAAGGAAUUGACGGGGUCAUAGCUG
rnacentral:rRNA from 1 species